ensembl:lncRNA
GUUUUUUUUAAUUAAAUCGAGCUUGAAUAUAUAUAAUAUGUUGAAAAAAAAAAUGCACAAAAAAAAAGAUAAUAGUAUUAAAACAAUAAAAAAAGAAAAUAAAAUUAAAAAAAGAAUAAACGUUAAAAUAAGAUUAAAUAGUACAGAUGAUUUACUAGGUGGAAGUUAUAUAUCAAUGAAUUGUAAUAAAUCCAUAAAAUACAACAUUUUAUCUAAUCCUAUUUAUAUAACAAAUAAAGAAAAAAAAAAAAAAAAAAAACUUUUUGUUAUGUUAAAUGAAGAACAUGUAUCAAACACUUUGGAGUAUAUAAAUAUUAUAAAAAAAUUAAAUAAUUAUGAUAGGAAAGAUUUUCUUUUUGUAGCUAGCCGUUCCUUUGAUUUUGAAAAACUAAGUAAAAAAUUCCAGAUAUAUUUUAAUUUGAAUCAUAAUUUAAAAAUUUUUAAUACACUGUUAUUAACUUAUCAUGUAGGUGAUCUUGUGUGUAAUAGUAAUAAUAAUAAUAAUAAUAAUAAUAAUAAUAAUAAUAAUGUACAAAAUGAUGGAAAAAACAAAACAAAAAAAAAUGGAAGGGAAAAUGAUGACUUGCUCCAUGUCAACCCUAUUUAUGAUAUAAUGCGCAAAUGUGUUAACAAAAGAUGGAAGGUACACAAAAAUAUAGUACUAAAAAAACAAAACAUAUUUAAUGGUAAUCGUGGUAACAUUGUUUUCAAAUAUUACAGUGAAAAAAAAAUGAAAGCAGCACAUAGGAAAUAUUUGAAAAAACAUAGUAGUGAUGAGCAAAUGGAGAAUAGACGCAGAACACGGAGUAGUACAAUAUCUGAUACUAGUAGCGGUAGUUAUGAUGGCAGAAGUGGUAAUAACCAUAAUACAAGAAUAAAAAAUAGGGGUAAAAAUAAAUUUGAUUUUUUAUCAAAAGAAAAAGCAGAAGUUGUUAAAUUUUUUCAACUUUUUUAUGAUGAAUAUAUAUAUAAAGAUAAGAACAAAGCAUAUGUUAAAACGUUGGUAAAAGAAAGUUUUGACAUUUGUUUUAUAUUUCUUAAAGUAUGUUUUUAUUAUUAUUACUAUGAAUAUAUUAAAAAACAGAAAACCAUUGAAAAGGAUAGUAGUAAAAUACAUAUUCAUAAAUUUAUGUAUUUAAAACAAAUUGAAAUUUUAAAAACAAAUGAAAAUUUGUUUUAUUACAACAUUUGUGUUCCUUCAUGUGUAUACAUUUUUAUUGACAUUUUGAGGAUGCAUUAUCAAAGCGACCCGUUUCGUUCGAUAGAAAAAAAUAAAAUUUGUUCUUUAUUAAAAUUUAUUUUUUAUGCAAUAAUUUAUUACAAAAUCAGAAAAAAAAGUUACGAUUUUUGUUUUACUGAAGAGGAUGUGACAAAUCAUAUAUGCUACUUCAACCGCAGUGUAAUAAUAAAUACGAUCGUACAGUUAUUUGAAAAAAAACAAGAUAAAAAGGAUGUGGAUGUAAAUGGGGAUACAUUUUUUAAGGAUAAUACUAAUCGGAGUAAAAAUGUUGCAAAUAAAAAAUCUGCAUCUCUAAAGUUAACAAAAUUUAGUAAAAAACAUAAAAAAAAUCAGAGUACA